rnacentral:rRNA from 1 species
GCGGGAUGCUUAACGCGUUAGCUGCGGCACAGCGGGAUUGGGUACCCACUACACCAAGCAUCCAUAGUUUAGGGCUAGGACUACCAGGGUAUCUAAUCCUGUUUGCUCCCCUAGCUUUCGCGCCUCAGCGUCAGUUAUGGUCCAGUGCGCCGCUUUCGCCACAGGUAUUCCUCCCGAUAUCUACGCAUUUCACCGCUACACCGGGAAUUCCACGCACCUCUCCCAUACUCCAGCACGGCAGUUUCGCCUGCAGGCUCUGAGUUAAGCCCAGAGGUUUCACAGGUGACUUACCGCACCGCCUACGCGCCCUUUACGCCCAAUAAUUCCGAACAACGCUUGCCCCCCUCGUAUUACCGCGGCUGCUGGCACGAAGUUAGCCGGGGCUUCUUCCACCGGUACCGUCAUAAUCGUCCCGGUCGAAAGGAGUUUACGUCCCAAAGGACUUCAUCCUCCACGCGGCGUUGCUGCGUCAGGGUUUCCCCCAUUGCGCAAAAUUCCCCACUGCUGCCUCCCGUAGGAGUCUGGACCGUGUUUCAGUUCCAGUGUGGCCGUGCGCCCUCUCAGGCCGGCUACCGAUCGUCGCCUUGGUAGGCCAUUACCCUACCAACUAGCUAAUCGGCCGCGACCCCCUCCUUCAGCGAAUUGCUCCUUUGAUCCGGCGGGAGUUGCACCCGCUGGAUGUUAUGCGGUAUUAGCCCCGGUUUCCCGAGGUUAUCCCCCACUAAAGGGCAGGUUAGUCACGUGUUACUCACCCGGUCGCCACUUUACUCACGGAGUUGCCCCCGCUUUCUCGUUCGACUUGCAUGUGUUAGGCACGC